CUACGUGUGCAUGCAAAUUCUGCCAACAUAACCUGCGAGUGCAAGAGACCAGAGAGCGCAGUCAUCAGGUCGUCGCCCACGUCUGCUCGGUGAUACGCGAUACUCCUCUACCUGCAAUUCUUGUCUCGACACCCGUGUUGGCCGGCAAGCAUGAAGAUGAUCAUCUUCACCAUAACACUCCUAAUGAUUUCUGAUACGUGUGGCCUUUCGAUGCCAAAAGUUCCCCAAUCUGUUCCCGCGCUUUCAUGGUUGUCCGUAAAAGCUUUGGCUGCCCAUUUGGCUCCAACGAAUGCUCAAAGUACUGCAAGGAAAAGAAGGCCCAGAAAGGAGGAUACUGCACCGGAAGAUUCAGAGAAAACUGUGUUUGCUUUCGGAACUGAAUCUAAAAGUAACUUUUUUUCGAAACCAAUCUAUGCCUGUACGCCUAGAAACUGAGAGAAAUACAGCCGGUCGUACGGAAGCACCA